rnacentral:rRNA from 1 species
GACGAACGCUGGCGACGUGCUUAACACAUGCAAGUCGAACGAUGAAGCCCAGCUUGCUGGGUGGAUUAGUGGCGAACGGGUGAGUAACACGUGGGCAACCUGCCCCAAACUCUGGGAUAACUCCUCGAAAGAGGUGCUAAUACCGGAUAUGAACUAGACAGGCCACUGGACUAGUUGGGAAGUUUUACGGUUUGGGAUGGGCCCGCGGCCUAUCAACUUGUUGGUGAGGUAACGGCUCACCAAGGCUACGACGGGUAACCGGCCUGAGAGGGCGACCGGUCACACUGGGACUGAGACACGGCCCAGACUCCUACGGGAGGCAGCAGUGGGGAAUAUUGCGCAAUGGGCGAAAGCCUGACGCAGCGACGCCGCGUGAGGGAUGAAGGUCUUCGGAUCGUAAACCUCUUUCAGUAGGGACGAAGCGAAAGUGACGGUACCUAAAGAAGAAGCACCGGCUAACUUCGUGCCAGCCGCCGCCGUAAUAC